UACAGAGGGGGCGAGCGUUGUUCGGAAUUACUGGGCGUAAAGGGCGCGUAGGCGGCCCGCUAAGUCGAACGUGAAAUCCCCAGGCUCAACCUGGGAACUGCGUCCGAUACUGGCAGGCUUGAAUCCGGGAGAGGGAUGUGGAAUUCCAGGUGUAGCGGUGAAAUGCGUAGAUAUCGUGAGGAACACCAGAGGCGAAGGCGGCUACCUGGACAAUUGCUGACACUCAGGCACGAAAGCGUGGGGAGCAAAAGGG
rnacentral:rRNA from 1 species